CCCAGCUGCACCAGACACGCUCCCCACGUGUCUGCCCUGUGGGGACCUGGACUGUGGGGAGUAGGCCAGAAACACCACGCCCCUCCCACUGCACUCCACUGCUGGGAGGUCAGAGGUCAUCUUCCCAGAGCCUCUGGCCCUGCAGGGAGAGGCUCACUGCAGCACUGCAGCUGGGUUCCUCCCCGAUCCGUUCUUCCGGUCAGUGUUUUUCAAGCACCUCGUGUAUACAAGGUUGGUUUUGAACUACACAUCAAGUCCCUUCCAUGACAAGCCUCGGUGCACUGCUAACCGCUUGAAUCCUGUUCGAUCUCUUUCCCAGGCCCUGGCCCAGAGGUGCCAUAUGGUCCAGGGAAUGGCAGACCCGUGCCAGCUGGGAUGUGGGGAUCGUGUUUCUAGACACUAUCACAGGCCCAGGCUGAAGGCUUAUCCUGCAGAUGGCCACCUCCCACCCUCUCCAGUAGUGAUGCUCCCCGCCCUCUGCAGUCAGAUGGAUGUGGGUGAUCUCUAGGAUGCAGGCCCAGGCUUGUCCUGGCAGCCUGGCAGCCACCCCAUAGGUGACUGCAGACUGGACAUGGGGUGCCAGGGGCAGCAAAAGCCAAAAGCCUGGGGUUGGAGGCCCGGGGUGAGUGAAGAUCCCCCGAAAGGCUCUGGGCUAGGACUCCUCCUGAACCUGGGGGUCCCUCCCCUCAAGCCCUGGCUUCCAGGAGCCGCCUCGAAGCUGGGUCAGAACAGACUCCAGGACAUUCUUUCGUCUCCCUUGUAAAACCUAUCAGCGUUUUCACGCGCUUCCUGAGGAUCAAAGCCUUCCUGAUUGGAUGAGACUCCAUGGCCUGAGACUGAACACUUUUUUUCCUUCAGUUCUUUCCCUUUCUACUUCCCUCCCUCCUCCAACCCCAGUAGGCAAAAAAGCAGGCGGAGGACCGCGGAAUUCUGGCGGGUGAAACUUGGCCCGCGUCUGCAGGCCCUGCCUGUAAAUUUCCAGGGGCCGCGGGCGUGGCGGUAACUCCGCCCCCUGGCGGGCGCCUGACACACUGCACCCUGGGAGGCGGGGGGGGGGGGGGUGCCGCACUUCCGAGUUCAACGUUAAUAACACAUUUUAUAAGUUAA
rnacentral:lncRNA from 1 species